UUGUAAUGAUGAUGUAAACAAAUAUAUUUGGGAAAAUAAUCAGCUGUUAUCAGCAGCAGCAGCAGUACCUCAUAGUAACAGCACAAAACCCUUAAUCACUCUGCCCUCUUUUCCUGUGUGCUAUUAUAUGCAUUUCUAGGCUGUGAUGGUGCUUCACUAUUUGUUUUUGAGUUGUGAAUAUCAGGAAGGGAGCUAAUUGGACUUGUAUCUUUUUGUGGGGUUUGGGGGUGGGGGCAACCGUGAUGGCAUUUUUUGAGAUGGAUUUUCCAGAGUCCAUGACAUGCAAUUGGGUGUGCAGCCAUGUUGGUUCCCAUUCCUCUUAGUCUGAUUUUUACUGUACAUAUCUGGGCCUUUCUCUAGUUAGUGUGUGUGUGAGAGAGAGAGAGAGAGAGAGAGAGAGAGAGAGAUUUGUUGUGAUUUAGUUGGCAGUAGCAACAAGUGGCUCUGCCAUGGUGGGAAUCUUUAGCUAGUAAAUUUAGCUCAGAGAAUGACGCAAAUAGAGAGAUGGGAUUCCCUCAUUGUUUUAUGCCUAUGAUUUCUUCGUUAAUUAACCAAAUUUAAAAACCGUCCUUGAUUUCCAGUAAUCAGUGCUGCUGCUGCUGCUGCUACUACUACUAAUUGAAACUUAGACUGUAGUUAUAAUUCUAUGUUAUUUGGUUUGCUCUUUGACCAAAGGCCUUGGAGAAGUAUAGGAAAGAAAAGACUAAAGUGUUGACGGCUAGGAUGAUAUUUGUAGUGAGCUAGGAAAAAAAGGCAUUGAUUUUAUAAAUUGACCCAUAUCUUGGUAGGCAACCUGGAUGGCACAGUUAUUACUUGGGUGUUUCUGUGUAUUAGUUUCUUUCACUAUAGCGCAACUAGUGAUUUGCAGCCAUGGCGGUGUCACAAACUUAAUACUUGGUCAAAUUCAGAUCUGAGCCUUGUGUUCUUGUUGUUUGCAGUAUUCUUGUGUUGAAGUCACAGGCAUAGAGUGGCCAUGCAUUUAUGCAGCUUGUGCAUUUCUGCUUAUCCUUGUUCAAAUAAGAUCUCUUUGCGACUUAUGAUUCUGGGUUUUCUUCAGGCGUUUUUCUCAUUUCUGAUGUGCUAAAUACUGCUAUUUGCGCUUGUUUAGCCUUUUACCAGUUCUGUAAAAGUGGAUAGCUCAUUGUUUUGGUGAAUUGGGUCUUUUAGUCCCUGGGUUGAUAGUCUCCUUGUUUUGGUGCCAAUGAGGCCUUGGUCUAGUGGCUAAGGUUGAGGCCUUCGGAAUUAGAAGUCCUGGGUUCAAAUCCCCCUGCCCCUCAUGCUUCUUAAGUCCCAUCCCUUCCCUGCUGGAAAAAAAUUAAAAAAUAAAAGAAGUGGUGAUUUUGGUUCAAUAUAGAUUUUUCUACCUCUGUCGUUUUCAAUGUAAUUAUUUACAAGUCUGCAUUCAUUGUAGAUGAUUUGUUGUGUUUUGGUUGCUCUCUAGUGCUACUUGCAUUGGAUAUGAACAUACAUUUUUUAAGCUGUAAUUAUUCAAUUUUUGGAAUUUUGAAGUGUAUUUUCCAAGGCUUCUGUCACUCCACCCAAGCUGUUGUAGCACAAUCUGCAUUCUUUCAUAAUCAAAAGUUGAAGACUCAGGCGCAAGAGAAAUAGGGAUUUUCAAUGGUGGUCAAUUUCUCCCUAAUCAGAUUUUUCAGAGGCUGUGGUGUUGCUCACUUCCUUCUAAUCUAAGGAAUGAAUGAGGGUUAUGAUCGGGUUUGAACCUCCAUGAUAAAACAACCAGAGGACUGAAAACUAGGAGCUCCAAGACUGAUUGAGGCAUCAGAGAGAUGUGGGAUUUCUUCAAGGAGUGUUGCCCCUCUCCGUUUUUAGCCAAUGAUGUCUUCUUCUUCUUCUUCUUCAAAAGCCAACAACCCUUCUGUUUAAUUUAGUGUCCAUCCUUCUCAGGGUUUAAUUUCACAGAUCACCCUUUUGUACUACUACUGCUAGCAUUCACUGGAACCAAACAUGGCGUCCGACAACUUUGCAAAGUUUCUUGGGCCUAGUUUGGGAGUUUGAGAGAGAGAGAUAGAGAGAGAGAGAUUUUGUAUGGUCCCAUAAAAAAUGGCUGUGAUGAUUUUACAUCUCUGAAUGGGAGCUGAGUUGUUUUUUUCUCCCUCAGGGCAAUUGAGGUGAACCGACCCGUAUCUUGGCAGGGCAACCCUGAUGGCCUGCAUGCAACAGGGUUUUGCAGCCAUGGCGGUGUUUCUCUACUUCUUUGCCCAAAGCCUAAAGUUUUUAAAAGAUCUGAGCCCAUUUUUCUCAAGGUUCACAUCGUUAGCAUGCCUUUCUGAAAUUGUCCCUUUACUCAUGUAGCCUCUAAGGGAUGAGGCAUUAUACUUCUUUCAACUGAAAGAUCGAAAGAAUGAUGGGGCAGAGAGAGUGUACUGUUGGGGCGAGUUUCUAAGGGUGGCUGCCCCUCUCUGCAUUUCCCCCAAUGAUUUCUCAGUCCUCAAACAAGGAAGAAAGAUAAACCACCCUUGGAAAACGAAAAAGAAAGGAAUUCACAAAUAUCGUAUUAUUUGUUCUGGUUCUGGUACUGUAGCUGUGAUGCAAUUCACACGUGCUUUGUGAUGCAAUCCGGAUGGUAUGUUUUUAUGGGUUAUCCCUUCUCACAUGCAACUCGAUUUGCAGCCAUUGCGGAACCUUUCCCCCUUUACCCAUUUCUUUUAUAAAACUGAGCCUCGUUUUUUGUGUGUGUUCGAAUCUUGUAGAAAUCCUCCUUGAAUAGUGGUACCUGUCACUGGUAAUUUUUAGCUCUAAGAAUGAGGCAUCAGGGAGAUGGGAUUUCUUAGAAGGGUCGUUGCCCCUCUCUGUUUCGCCUGUGAUUUCUUCAUUACCCAAUGCAAAACCAACGGCCCUUCAUUACUAGUAUCUAGUAGUAGUAGUAAUAAUAAUAAUAAUCAGACUUCAGAAUGCAGCUGAUAUUGAGCUUGUUCUUGUAUGCUUUAGAUUUUGUAAAAGCUGAUUAUGGAAAGUGGCACUAGAGAAUAAUCAUAAUCAGCUGAGGCUACUCAUUGGUGGAUUUGGAUUUCAGAUUUUUUGGCCAUUAACAAAUGUAAAAUGCAGAUGCAAAAAAAAUUAUAAAAAAUGAUUAUCCAAAAUUAGAAUCUAUGAUCAGGUGAAAUAAUAGACUGAGAACAAGCCUGUUGUUUCUGCUGCUGCUGGUGUUGUUGUUUUUGCUCUUUGAUGAAUCCAAAACAGAAAGAGGGUAGAAGAAAGUAAAGGCUGUGAUGAUGUUUCUUAUGAGCAAUGGAAUCAGGCAUUGAUUGAUGAGAAGUUGACCCGCAUCUUGGUAGGGCAACUCGGAUGGCAUACUGUUUCUAUGGGAGUGGUUGAUGACUGAUUAUGUUCCCUUUCAUGUAACCGGUGAUUUGCAGCCAUGGCGGUGUCACAUACUCAAUGCCUGAUGUACAAAUCUGAGCCUCAUAUUCAUCUUGUUUUUCUCAUUUCUCUGCCGGCUUUUCUCAUAACUGCAUGGCCCAAUAUGAAUCACCACCAUGGCUCCAUUGGCUUUUUGUUUCUAUACACCAACACCGAGAUUUUACUGGAAAGGGUGCUAUUCUGCAAGUUUGUCAAGUGAUUGAUGCUGUCCUUGAUAUUAGAUUCAAGGAAGGAGGGGUGCCAAUUUGAUGGCGCCGGAGGUGGUUUGAUAAUCAGAUCCAACUUGUAUUUGAGUUGGCUCAGCAUACAAGGGAGAAUUUGUUAGGUGUAUCUAUGGGCUACUCCAGGUCUUGUUUGUAGGCAGCAGGUGCCCAACAACUACUCCCGUAUUACGGUGCCUGUUGGUAGAGCUGCUCUUGGCCGUAUCAUAAGCGUCAUUGGAGAAGCUAUUGAUGAUCGGAGGUGAAAUUAAAACUGAAAUUAUUUGCCAACCUGUAUUUAGGCCUCAGCUUUCGCUGGUCAGUCUAGUGAACCAGAAAUUCUUGUUACUCGAACUAAGGUUUUACAAUUCUGCAGUUCUGCGCAAUUCAACUUGUCCUUGCAUGUGUAUGAUGCUAUUCAUGGCUCUUGUGAUUUUGUGUUCUGUUA